rnacentral:rRNA from 1 species
CCAGAUCGUUUACCGUGAAAAAAUUAGAGUGUUCAAAGCGGGCAGAUAUUUUUCCUGCCACCGAAUACAUUAGCAUGGGAUAAUGGAAUAGGACCCUGACCUCCUAUUUUCAGUUGGUUUUGUUUACAGCGAGGUUCAUCAGGGUAAUGAUUAAUAGGGAUAGUUGGGGGCAUUAAUAUUUAAUUGUCAGAGGUGAAAUUCUUGGAUUUAUGAAAGAUUAACUUCUGCGAAAGCGUUUGCCAAGGAUGUUUUCAUUAAUCAAGAACGAAAGUUAGGGGAUCGAAGACGAUCAGAUACCGUCGUAGUCUUAACCAUAAACGAUGCCGACCAGCGAUUAGGAGACGUUGAAUACAAAACACCGCUGUUAAUCGUUUCGGGGGUUAAUAGU